rnacentral:rRNA from 1 species
GACGAACGCUGGCGGCGUGCUUAACACAUGCGAGUCGAACGGAAAGGCCCUGCUUUUGUGGGGUGCUCGAGUGGCGAACGGGUGAGUAACACGUGAGUAACCUGCCCCUGACUUUGGGAUAACUUCAGGAAACUGGGGCUAAUACCGGAUAGGAGCUCCUGCUGCAUGGUGGGGGUUGGAAAGUUUCGGCGGUUGGGGAUGGACUCGCGGCUUAUCAGCUUGUUGGUGGGGUAGUGGCUUACCAAGGCUUUGACGGGUAGCCGGCCUGAGAGGGUGACCGGCCACAUUGGGACUGAGAUACGGCCCAGACUCCUACGGGAGGCAGCGGUGGGGAAUAUGGCACAAUGGGCGGAAGCCUGAGGCAGCAACGCCGCGUGCGGGAUGACGGCCUUCGGGUUGUAAACCGCUUUCGCCUGUGACGAGGCGUGAGUGACGGUAAUGGGUAAAGAAGCACCGGCUAACUACGUG